rnacentral:misc_RNA from 1 species
GAAAUGCGAUAAGUAGUGUGAAUUGCAGAAUUCAGUGAAUCAUCGAAUCUUUGAACGCACAUUGCGCCCCUUGGUAUUCCAUGGGGCAUGCCUGUUCGAGCGUCAUUUGUACCCUCAAGCUCUGCUUGGUGUUGGGUGUUUGUCCCGUCUCCGCGCGUGGACUCGCCCCAAAGUGAUUGGCAGCCGGCGUACUGGUCCCGGAGCGCAGCACAUGUCGCGCAAACGAGUGCCUUGGUACGGCGGCGUCCAUAAGCCCCUCUCUCACGCUCUUGACCUCGGAUCAGGUCGGCAUACCCGCUGAACUUACGC